AGUCGUAACAAGGUUUCCGUAGGUGAACCUGCGGAAGGAUCAUUAACACUUUUAAUUAAAAAUUAAAAAAACACUUAACACCUUUGUGAGAACUACUUAAACAAACAAAACUGAAGAUGAAAGGGGGGGAAGGAGAAAGAAUCAAAGAAGGAAAUUUCCUCUCUUUGGUUUCUCUCACACCCCCUCCCUCUCUGAUUCAAUUAUUUAUUUUAAAACAAAAACACCAUAAUAAAUUAAAGGUGAACAAAUUCUUGGAGUUAAAAAACCAAAUAAAAAAUAAAACAAAAAUACAACUCUUAACAAUGGAUAUCUUGGUUCUCGC
rnacentral:misc_RNA from 1 species